CCUACGGGCAGCAGCAGUGGGGAAUAUUGGGCAAUGGGCGAAAGCCUGACCCAGCAACGCCGCGUGAAGGAAGAAGGCUUUCGGGUUGUAAACUUCUUUUGACAGGGAAGAGCAGAAGACGGUACCGGUCGAAUAAGCCACGGCUAACUACGGGCCAGCAGCCGCGGUAAUACGGAGGUGGCAAGCGUUGUCCGGAUUUACUGGGUGUAAAGGGCGGGUAGCCGGGCUUACAAGUCAGAUGUGAAAUCCGGGGGCUCAACCCCCGAACGGCAUUUGAAACUGUUGGUCUUGAGUAUCGGAGCGGCAGGCGGACUUCCUCGUGUAGCGGUGCACUGCGUAGAUAUUAGGCGG
rnacentral:rRNA from 1 species